rnacentral:lncRNA from 1 species
AGUUUGCCUCUGGGUUCAGUUACAAGUUGCUGGAGGGCAGCUGGUAUUAACUCAUCACCAGGGAGAGAGCACAGACAGGCAGGGGCAUGUAGUGCUCACUGGUCCUGUUCCUUCUCAUCCUUCCAGCAACUCCAAGAAAACAAUCUGAACCUAAGACAACAGACGCAGCUGCACCUGGGACAGCAGACACAGCUGGGCCUGGGACAAUGGACACAGCUGUACCUAGAAAAGCAGAAACAGCUGUGCCUGGGAAAAGGAACACAGCUGUGCCUGGAACAGCAGACCCAGCUUCACCUGGGACAGCAGACACAGCAGAACCUAUGAGAACAACCACUCCAACAGUUCUGGCCUCCUGGCCUUCUCUCACCCAGAGCACCAACAGCACCCAGCCCACGGCUCUUACCAGCCCCCUCACCAGGAUCCUGCUCUGCAACAUCCACUUCCUGCUCCCGAUCUCCCUGAAGGGGCUGCUGCUCGUGGGCCUGCUCUGCACUGUGCUGCAAGUGAGCAGUGCUAAGGGGGCCUCCAGGGGGAAAUAAAGUCACAGCCUGAGCCGGGGAACCGCAGCUCCCACACCAUCAACACCCUCGGAGGGGGCAAGCAGAACCUCUGGCCUCCUAUCAGGAGCAGAUAAAAGAAAGGACAUCCCCCUUGCACACUGAUUCCUUGGAGGCAUCUGCAUCUCACCUUCAUGGAUCCUCCCUCAGGCCUCCUUUCCUUGUGGCUCCAGGAUGACCCUGUCAGAGAUACUGGACUAUCGUUCAGUUGCAGAGGCCCCAGGGCCUGUCUGGACUUUUCCAUCCCAAGAGGGGCUCGGCUCUAUCCCCUUUGUGCCUGUGACCCUCUCCAUCCCCCACCCGGCUCAGAACUGGCACAGCCACCACCAACCACUCCUGAUUCAACCCAAGCUUCGCCCUUUCCACCUCUCGAGCUGUGCAACAACAAAUGCAGGAUGCUCAGCCCUCAUGUGUCAGUCCCCUCAAUUCACUUGUAAUUAAAUAACAACACACCUCUUUUUCUAAUUUUCAAAGGUGUAUAUAUUUCCCCUCAAUAAAGUUGUUAGGAUUAUUUUUCUCUUCCACUUA